rnacentral:misc_RNA from 1 species
UGAUAAUGUUUGAAUCAACUACAGAACUAUUACAUCAGAAUACAAUAUCAAUAGCCAGUCAAACAUAGUUUGGUAAAGAGUUUAAUGAUUCGACUGCACCUGACAAUCACUGAACCAAAAAAAAGAAAUAUACAAUAUCAAUAAAUGAAAACGGGGUCAGAUCAAAUGCCACUCUUUUUAAUGGAAGGGGGCCAUGACAAUCUUCGAUG